ACACGACUACAUUAGAUACCCCUGUAGUCCCAGCCCUAAACGAUGCGCGUUAGGUGUAUCGGUGACCACGAGUCACCGAGGUGCCGAAGGGAAACCGUGAAACGUGCCGCCUGGGAAGUACGGUCGCAAGGCUGAAACUUAAAGGAAUGGGCGGGGGAGCACCACAACGGGUGGAGCCUGCGGUUUAAUUGGACUCAACGCCGGGAAGCUCACCGGAUAAGACAGCGGAAUGAUUGCCGGGCUGAAGACCCUGCAUGACCAGCUG
rnacentral:rRNA from 1 species